AUGCUCACUUUGACAACACAUAUACUAAAAUUGGAAAUAAGAGAUUAGCAUGGUCCCUGCACAAGGAUGAAAACUCACAUUUUUGAUUCCCUACUAUACAUUU